UACCCGCUGAACUUAAGCAUAUCAAUAAGCGGAGGAAAAGAAACUAACAAGGAUUCCCCUAGUAACUGCGAGUGAAGCGGGAAAAGCUCAAAUUUAAAAUCUGGCGGUCUUUGGCCGUCCGAGUUGUAGUCUGGAGAAGUGCUUUCCGCGCUGGACCGUGUAUAAGUCUCUUGGAACAGAGCGUCAUAGAGGGUGAGAAUCCCGUCUUUGACACGGACUACCAGUGCUUUGUGAUGCGCUCUCAAAGAGUCGAGUUGUUUGGGAAUGCAGCUCAAAAUGGGUGGUGAAUUCCAUCUAAAGCUAAAUAUUGGCGAGAGACCGAUAGCGAACAAGUACCGUGAGGGAAAGAUGAAAAGCACUUUGGAAAGAGAGUUAAACAGUACGUGAAAUUGCUGAAAGGGAAACGCUUGAAGUCAGUCGCGUUGUCCGGAACUCAGCCUUGCUUUCGCUUGGUGCACUUUCCGGAUGACGGGUCAGCAUCGAUUUUGACCGUCGGAAAAGGGCUGGAGUAAUGUGGCACCUCCGGGUGUGUUAUAGACUCUGGUCGCAUACGGCGGUUGGGAUCGAGGAACGCAGCGCGCCGCAAGGCAGGGGUUCGCCCACUUUCGCGCUUAGGAUGCUGGCAUAAUGGCUUUAAACGACCCGUCUUGAAACACGGACCAAGGAGUCUAACAUACCUGCGAGUGUUUGGGUGGUAAACCCGAGCGCGUAAUGAAAGUGAAAGUUGAGAUCCCUGUCGUGGGGAGCAUCGACGCCCGGACCUGACGUUCUCUGACGGAUCCGCGGUAGAGCAUGUAUGUUGGGACCCGAAAGAUGGUGAACUAUGCCUGAAUAGGGUGAAGCCAGAGGAAACUCUGGUGGAGGCUCGUAGCGAUUCUGACGUGCAAAUCGAUCGUCAAAUUUGGGUAUA
rnacentral:rRNA from 1 species